AAACACCACUAGGGGUGCGAAAGCUGAGAGAGGUAGAAACCUUAACCCUUAUAACCUGAUCUAGGUGAUACUAGCGUAGGGAAGUGGAAACAACGAAUA
rnacentral:ncRNA from 2 species